GUGCAGCAGGCGAGAAACCUUUACAAUGUCUUCACGGACGAUAGGGGAAUCCUGAGUGCUCUAGCAUUGCUAGAGCUUUUGCUUACUGAAAAGGUAGGCGAAUAAGUGGUGGGUAAGACGGGUGCCAGCCGCCGCGGUAAUACCCGCGCCACAAGUGGUGACCACGUUUAUUGGGUCUAAAGCGUUCGUAGCCGGCCUUGAUAAAAUUCUCGGUGAAAUCCUGUGUAAAAUCAUAGGGCGUGCCGGGAAGACUGUCAAGCUAGGAACCGGGAGAGGCUGAGGGUACCCCAGGAGUAGGGGUUAAAUGCCGUU
rnacentral:rRNA from 1 species